rnacentral:misc_RNA from 1 species
UUAACAAAUUUUGCUUUUCGCUCAGACUGCAAACUUCAGACAGCGUUCAAUGGUGUCUUCGGCGGGCGCGGGCCCGGGGGCGAAUGCCCCCCGGCGGCCGUGAGGCGGGCCCGCCGAAGCAACAAGGUAAAUAAACACGGGUGGGAGGUUGGACCCAGAGGGCCCUCACUCGGUAAUGAUCCUUCCGCAGGUUCACCUACGGAAA